UGAAAUUUGCGAAGUUUUUUCGGUUUCGGCGCCAUUUUCGAGUGGACUCGGAGGAGUACAGGUUCCAGAUCCUUACCAUAUUAUUUAAAACUGGAUGAGAUGAUGGUGAAAAAAAUGGAACCAAAAAGCACCGUACUGUUCUUCAAUUCUGCAGUUUUGAGGAAAAACUGGAUCCUGGGAAUUUUACUGAUGUUCUGAAGUACAGUAAGUUAGGAUCUGAUCUUACAGGCCUUGCAAGCACAAGUAGUCCUUUCUCACAUGAAUAGACUCAUUUAAAUAAAUGAGACUAGUCAUGUCAGAGUUUGCAGGAUCAAGCUCUUAAUUUUGUAAAACUAGAAGCUUUAAUAUUUUUUUAAUCAAAUGAUUAUGCACUUUAUUGUAACAGUUUAGUAUCCAAUUUUCUGUUCCAUUCUCAAUACUACCUUAAAAGAGAAGUUAAGUACUUAAUCAUGUAACUUUUAAAGGUAGAAUAUGCCAAAGCUUAGGUUGCCGCUCAAAUGUAUUUAUGUUCAUAUAAUGCUCUUUAUUUUAAGAGAAAUAGUAGAAGUUAAUUUGUGGUGGUGAAAGGAUAGAUUAGUACUUUCAAUACAAGUGCACUGGAAAGAUUAAUAUUUUAUCUUCACCCAGUUUUAUAUAUAUAAAAAAUUUUAAAUUAUUUUAUUUUGUUCACUUUUAUAUGGGUACUUUGCUACCCAGUAAAGAGUGCUUAGUAAUGAUUGUGCAUGACACUUUGCGCGCAGAUUAGUUUCACUUGAGAUGUCUGUGCAAAGGAAAACAACUUCAGUAUGAUACAUCUAUUAAUACAGUGAGCUGUUAAUUUAAUAGAUAGUAAUUUCUCUUUACACAUCUUCAGCUCAAUCUUGGCAGUCUGCAAGUUGAACCGUUUAGGAAAUUUAAUAGUGAAAAAAUGUGGCGGUUGUCAAUAAAACAUAGGCUAUGUUUCUGCCUAUUAAACACAUUUGUGAAUAUUAAUACCUUACACUGUUUAAAUUCCAUUGUUCAAAUUAAAACAGAUGAAAAUGACUGACGUACGAGCACAGUCAGCUAUGAACUAUUUAAGUGGGUGGGACUUACCACUUCAGGUUUGUUUCAUCACCAUAGUCAAAAUGAGUGGUGUAUUAUUUGUUGGUUAUCUAUUUUCAGAUUGCAAUGAGGAUGACUAGUUCUAAAUAUUUUUUAGAAAGUAAAUGCUUUGUCUGAUUCCCUUCCUCCCCGCGCCCCCCUUCCUCCCCCCCCCCCUCCCCGGUGCAUGGCAAUAUUUUAGUGUUUCUGCUGUGUCAGAUGUCUCCUAAAUAGCCAUUUAAUAGCUGAUCUUUUUUAUUUUGAGUAUAUAGGAAACAGUGUUUUCUUGGUUUUGGUUUUGCCUAGCACUGAAAUGUAGACUAAGCAAGUUAACAAAGUGGGGUGGGUGUCCGUCCGUCCAUCCAUCUGUCUCACCCUUGGUCCUAAUACUUAUACCUUUCAGUCCUUUUCUUUUUUUAUAAGAUACCCCCUGUUUUCUUUCAUCAGUUUUGAUUUUUAAGAGGUGCCUUCUUGUUUUGAGAGAGAAUUUUCAUAUAACAUCCCAUUGUACUUUGGCAAGAAGCCACUGUAUAGGUAUUAUCCUAGGGACAGCAUUACAGUGCACUUCUGCAUAUCCAAAGUGCCCAGUUAUCCAGAAAUAUUAAUUAAUCAAUCAUAGAAUAUCAGGGUUGGAAGGGACCUCAGGAGGUCAUCUAGUCUUGCGCUUAUAUACAUCACUGCCAUAAAUCUGCUGUAUCUGACCUGCCGAAAUUUCCGCCUCAGUAUUUUCUGGAGUUUAAAUUAUACCCAUUGGGGUCUCCUGCUUGCUGGUAGAAAAUACAGUAGCAAGUGACUUAACUGCUAAGCCUCAGUUUCGGUCUGUAAAAUAAAUGUAAUGGAAGGUUGUGAGUCUUAAUAUUUUGUGAAGUGCUCAAAAAACGUUAGAUACGUGAACGAGCUUUUUCCCUGUCUUACUUGCACAGCUGAGGAGGACUGCAUGAAACUAAAGAGACAAUAAAUGUUCUUCUGCGUUGCUUGAAGGGUGUUGCGAGAGAGCACUGUGGUGUUCACUCUAUUUCUCCUCUCCCUCCCUCAGUCAGGAAGAUGAGACUGCUGCCAGAUGAAGGCAUGAGUUCAUAUUGAAAAAGAAGUUAAAUUGUGUCCCAAGAGAGUCAUAUUUUCAGAACAAACUGAUGCAUCAUUGCGUUCAGUCAAGACUUAUGCAAAGUACAAAACUGGCUAUUUAAACCACAAAACAAAAAACCUAAUUAUACUGCAUGAGAUGAUUAACAGCGUUAUACCCUUUGAGAGAACUGUUCUGAUGGCUUGCAUUGGUAAGAAUAUUUUCUCAUAUCUAUAUUAUGUUGUACAUCUCUACUGGCCUUGUGUUCCUCUCCCAAAUAACCCUAUUUACAUUCUGAAAACUGACUUCCUCUUUUCUCCAAGUAAGAGUUUGGUGGUAAUAGAUUGGCAGUGGCUUGGAAAUGUCACCCGUCUUUUUAAAAGGCAGGAUCUAUUUGCCCUCUUGGUUUAGAAUCUGAUUUAUUUUAAGGAUUUUGAGAGUUCUGCACACCCAAUCCCUUGAGAUCAUCAUUCUAUAACUUGAAUCUCAAUCUAGAAUCAAAAUGGAGUUCUAGAACCGAGGGCUUAUUUAUUUUUGCUUAUUAAACUAAACCACUUACCCUUUUGGGUAUUAUUUUAUUUCUUCUCUCAAACAGACUAAGCAGGUACGGUCAAGCAAGAUAUUGUUAGAGAAACAGUACAAAAAAGGGUUAAUAGCAUUCACCCUUUGAGUUGUUUGGCCGACAAUGCCAGUAUUAAAGCGAGAAAGCAAAAUAGGUCUGCUAGCAAAAAAGCAGUAGUGUAAAUUUUCAUAAAUUCAGCACAAACCAUUAGAAUUCCCAUUUUAAAGUUCUGUUUAAAAAGGGGAGGGAUAACAUGGACCCCAAAAAUGUAUUCAGAGUGCUUAGCACAGGUGAUAGCCAUUGGUGGGAGACAUCUCAAUGCCAUAUGUCUAACACAGUUCCUGUUUUCUUCAUGAUGACAAGCCCUAAGAAGAUGAGUUGUACGAACAUAUACCUGUUAGUACUGCUCCUAACUUAUUUAUCACAUAACUGUGAAAAUGUCAAAAAGAAAUGCAAAGAAAAGUCAGGCCAUCUGUACUGGUGCUUAGGCUAACUUGUAAUUACAUCUUAAGGUGCCACACUGUGAAGUCAGGGACCCCACAAAAAGACCUACUUGCACUCCUUCUCUUCUCCCUCCUUGCCUCUUCCAAAAGUGUGGUGUUCCCUAUCUGCAUAGGCAGGGAAUGCUCUGAAAAAUUUCAAGGCAGCUGUGAUCAUUUCUCAUCGCUGAUUUCAUUCAAAUUUGAAAGGGGAAAUCUGAGCAGCAUGAACCCUAAAAACAAAUAGAAAAAGAGAAAUAUUUGCUUCAGAUUAUGCCCUGAAAGUGAAUCUGAGGAAUCUGGAUCAUCUAAAUUGAAAUACUUCAGGGAAAUGGCAAACAAAUACUUUAGCACAGGGCUUCUCUAGCGAGGGACCCCUCAGGGGGUUGCAAGGUUAUUACAUGGAGGGGUCAUGAGCUGUCCACCUCCACGCCAUACACUACUUUGUAUCCAGCAUUUCUAAUGGUGUUAAAUAUAUUAAGUGUUUUUAAUUUAUAAAGGGGGGGUUGCACUCAGAGGCUUGCUAUGUGAAAGGGAUCACCAGUACAAAAGUUUGAGAACCACUGCUCUAACACUAUAACUAUUCCUUACACAGCUGUCACUGCUUGUAAGAGCUCCUGAGCCCAGUAUAUGCAGCGUGCGCACAAAAAAAGCUGUAGACCCGGGGUGGCCAACCUGUGGCUCCGGAGCCACAUGCGGCCCUUCAGAAGCUAAUAUCCGGUUCGUUGUCUAGGCACUGACUCCGGGGCUGGAGCUACAGGCGCCAACUUUCCAAUGUGCCGGGGGGUUCUCACUGCUCAACCCCCGGCUCUGCCCCAGGCCCUGACCCCACUCCACCCCUUCCCGCCCC